rnacentral:rRNA from 1 species
CACGUAGGGUGCGAGCGUUGUCCGGAAUUAUUGGGCGUAAAGAGCUCGUAGGCGGUGUGUCGCGUCGGCCGUGAAAACCUGCAGCUUAACUGUGGGCUUGCGGUCGAUACGGGCAUCACUGGAGUUCGGCAGGGGAGACUGGAAUUCCUGGUGAUAGCGGUGAAAUACGCAGAUAUCAGGAGGGAACACCGGUGGGCGAAGGCGGGUCUCUGGGCCGAUACUGACGCUGGAGGAG